UACGUAGGGGGCUAGCGUUGUCCGGAAUCAUUGGGCGUAAAGAGCGUGUAGGCGUCCCGGUAAGUCCGCUGUAAAAGUCAAAGGCUCAACCUUUGAAUGUCAGUGGAUACUGCCGGGCUAGAGUCCGGAAGAGGCGAGUGGAACUCCUGGUGUAGCGGUGGAAUGCGCAGAUAUCAGGAAGAACACCAACGGCGAAGGCAGCUCGCUGGGACGGUACUGACGCUGAGACGCGAAAGCGUGGGGAGCGAACAGG
rnacentral:rRNA from 1 species